rnacentral:tRNA from 1 species
GGAGCGGUAGUUCAGCUGGUUAGAAUACCUGCCUGUCACGCAGGGGAUCGCGGGUUCGAGUCCCGUCCGUUCCGCCA